rnacentral:rRNA from 1 species
UACGUAGGGUGCGAGCGUUAAUCGGAAUUACUGGGCGUAAAGCGUGCGCAGGCGGUUUGCUAAGACCGAUGUGAAAUCCCCCGGGCUUAACCUGGGAACUGCAUUGGUGACUGGCAGGCUAGAGUAUGGCAGAGGGGGGUAGAAUUCCACGUGUAGCAGUGAAAUGCGUAGAGAUGUGGAGGAAUACCGAUGGCGAAGGCAGCCCCCUGGGCCAAUACUGACGCUCAUG